ensembl:lncRNA LINC01122 long intergenic non-protein coding RNA 1122
GCCUGCUGUUUUUCUGAGCCACUGGCAAGAUCUCCCUUAACAAUAUGUUUCCUAUUUGCUAACAUGAGAUCUGAUGCUAUUUUGUUUCUUUAAAUUUUAAAUCUUCUGAAGGAAAAGUGUUCUGAUCACUAAAGAGAUAUCCCUAAAUUACGUUUGAAACUAUUGCUUUGCUGAAAACAUCUGACUGCCAGGCUAGGAUGUGACACUUAAGGGACUUACCAAUUUGGGAUUCUUCCAGGAGCUGAAAACUGAUUGCAAAUAUGAAACAGAUUUCACUACAGGACUUGAACCCUACAUUAAAAAACAACAAGCUCCCCAAAAUAAUUGAAAAAGAUCUUCACCAAAGAGUAGCUGCAAUGUGAAUGGCAGGAUAUGAAGCAAGUAAGAGAUGGUGAAAAGAUUAUCUUAAGCUUGGAAUUAAGUGAUGAAAGGGACCUUCGAAAUUAUCAACUCUAAAUACUUCUUUACAGGAAAAUUGAAAGCAGUUAAGAACCUGCCCCCUACCGUGGAGUUCUUGGUGCCGUGAGUUGGAGUUCUUGGUGCCUGGGUGCGUCCCCAAGGCCACUGGUCUUCAGAUCUUUCUUACUUGAGAAGAACGCCUCCGCCUCCUGGCUCUCCCACCAGUGGUAUUGCCACCACCACACACCAGCAUAAAGCACAGAUUGCUGCCCAGCUCCUUGGAGAGGGGCCAGUGCAUUUGUCAGGAAUUGAAAAGUUUUGGAGCCAGUUCGAGGACUUUCUCCUGCACAAAGUGUUGGCUGGAAGCAUGAAGCAAUAACACAUGGUUUGCCAAAGAAUCUGCAUUGAAUAAUACUGGUGGUGACCACAAGAACAUGCCUCUCUGACUGCAAGGAACAAGAGUGACCCAGGGUUUCAGCUGCUGCCUUGGAAAUUCAUCACAGUGCAAGUCUAUGCUUCCCACGGGCUGCUCCCAGCCUGUGAAUAAGCCUGGCAUCUUUGUUGAGGCAGGCCUAUUUCUGGAGAUGCAGGAUCCUCCGAUGGGCGAAUUUGGCUCUAGGACUGCUUGAUGGCCUUGACAGACUUUCCUUAGAAAUGCAUGGCAAUUUAGGGUUCCUCCACCCUUCCCUCUUUCUCUCCUUCACCUAGGGUCGGACUUGCAUCAUGGCCUGAAAGCUCCACCAGCCUCUCCUGCCCUCCUCCUCAUUUUCUUUCACAGGCAUAUCCUCUAAUAAAUUUCUUGCACAU